UGGGUAAUGUAGUUUCCUGGAUCGGCGCCUGGCCAGUGCCAGCUUUGCAGAACCCGCCCGGUGCAGACCCCUGCGGCCGGGGCGAGGAGGUGCCUGAGCAGCCGGCCAGAGGGUGCCGCCACCUGCGGGGCCCAGCGGCCUGCAGGACAUCUGCAAUGCUCCAGAAGCCCAAGACCGUGAAGCUGCGGGCCCUGCGCAGCCCGAGGAAGUUCGGCGUGGCUGGCAGGAGCUGCCGGGAAGUGCUGCGGAAGGGCUGCCUCCGCUUCCAGCUACCUGAGCGCGGCUCCCGGCUGUGCCUGUACGAGGAUGGCACGGAGCUGACCGAGGACUACUUCCCCAGCAUCCCCGAUGACACCGAGCUGGUGCUGCUCACCUCGGGCCAGGCCUGGCAGGGCUAUGUGAGUGACAUCAGGCGCUUCCUCAGUGCGUUUCACGAGCCGCACGCGGGCCUCAUCCAGGCCGCCCAGCAGCUGCUGUGUGAUGAGCAGGCCCCGCAGAGGCAGAGGCUGCUGGCUGACCUCCUACACAACGUCAGCCAGAACAUCGCGGCUGAGACCCGGGCUGAGGACCCGCCGUGGUUUGAAGGCUUGGAGUCCCGAUUUCAGAGCAAGUCUGGCUAUCUGAGAUACAGCUGUGAGAGCCGGAUCCGGAGCUACCUGAGAGAAGUGAGCUCCUACCCCUCCAUGGUGGGUGCGGAGGCUCAGGAGGAAUUCCUGCGGGUCCUCGACUCCAUGUGCCAGAAGCUCCGGUCUGUGCAGUACAACGGUAGCUACUUCGACAGAGGAGCCAAGGGUGGCAGCCGUCUCUGCACGCCGGAAGGCUGGUUCUCCUGCCAGGGUCCCUUUGACAUGGACAGCUGCUUGUCGAGACACUCCAUCAACCCCUACAGCAACAGGGAGAGCAGGAUCCUCUUUGGUACCUGGAACCUGGAUCACAUCAUAGAAAAAAAACGUGCCAUCAUUCCUACACUGGUGGAAGCAAUUAAGGGACAAGACGGAAGAGAAGUGGACUGGGAGUAUUUUUAUGGCCUGCUUUUUACCUCAGAGAACCUAAAAUUAGUGCACGUUGUCUGCCAUAAGAAAACCACCCACAAGCUCAGCUGUGACCCGAACAGAAUCUACAAACGCCAGACAAGGCUGAAGAGGAAGCAGCCCGUGCGAAAGCGCCAGUGACGUGCGCACCGUGCCCUCGUGUUUGUUGAGGCCUGACGUGGGCAUAGUUUUAACAGCCCAACUUCUAGAGGAAAGCUUUGGGGUCCUCACUGGAUGUCUGUGAGUUCCUGGUUGUACUGGUUAGUAGGGAUGAGAACAGUCUCUGCACUGAGGAAUUCUUCUGUUCUCUGGUUUUCCGGUAUUUGGUUUGCCCCUGUACUGUGGUCACCAUACUAAAACUGCGUCCUGGCUGAAGGUGGCUGCUCUUGCCUGGAGGGACUAGCUGAUUACGUGUCAGCUCUCUGCUGAGUCUCCAUUUCCAUGGCCAGUGGGCAGCUCCAUCCUUCCUGACUCUUCCAAAUGCCCAAAAGAGAGCAUCUGAGGGUAAGAUGUCUGGGGGUAAGCAUUCGAGGGUAAGAUGUAUGUUCUUCUCUAUAAAGAAUAUACAAGGACAUUCA